CCCUUAGAUGUUCUGGGCCGCACGCGCGCUACAAUGAUGAAUUCAACGAGUUUAUAACCUUGGUUGAAAAGCCUGGGUAAUCUUUUGAACUUUCGUCGUGAUGGGGCUAGACCCUUGCAAUUAUUGGUCUCCAACGAGGAAUUCCUAGUAAACGCAAGUCAUCAGCUUGCAUUGAUUACGUCCCUGCCCUUUGUACACACCGCCCGUCGCACCUACCGAUUGAAUGGUCCGGUGAAUUAUUCGGACUGUAACGCGCUCAGCUUCUGGGUGCAGUUAUGGGAAGUUUUGUGAACCUUACCACUUAGAGGAAGGAGAAGUCGUAACA
rnacentral:rRNA from 1 species